UACACAUAUACAUAUAUACAUAUAUAUAUAUAAAAACAUGGGAAAAGCAUGAAAGAAGUAUUAAAAACACACAGGGUAAAGAUGAGUGCUGGCAGAUAAGUGCAAAAUAGAUUAAAUGAAUAAAUAAAUAAAUAGGUAUAUAAAUAAAGAUAGGCUUCCUUUCACAUAAAGGAAGCCUCCAAUGUAAUAAAUAAGGGCAGUAAAAGAGGUGGAAGGCCUCAAUAACAUCAUGAUGUAAAGGAAGCACACAGUGAAGAUAAAAACAUGCAGCAUAUUAAAACACACAAUGGACCCGACGCCAUGCAGGGAACCCCCCAGGAGGAGUCCCGGGACCCCCCAGCGCCCCCAGCAGCGUCCCAGUGCGGCCCCCACUCCCUGAUGUUCAGGCCCAAGGGGGGGAGGGUCUUAAGCUUGGCUCUCCACCUCUGCUCCGCCUCCUUCCUCUGUCUGUCCGCCCAGCACGCCUUCACCUCCAGCCCGGUGAUGAACAGUGAGGUAAUGGGCUGUGUUUGGAAGUGUUGAGUGUGCCUAGUAUAUAAUAGUGAAUAGUAUAUAAGUGCUGUUUAAGUCUGGUGAGUAUCGUGUGCUUUGUGUCGCCGACAUAUAUGAUGUGGCAUUGGGAGCAUGUGAUGGCGUAGAUGAUGUUGUUGUCCAGUAUGGUGAGUUUUUGCGGAAUAGGGCUGGAGGUGGAGGCGUGCUGGUUCCUGAUGACCGCCAGCUGCUGAAAGUGGCUUUGGUGUGGAGAGGGGGGGCUUCUAAUAUCUGUGGAGAAGCGGCCCGCACCAGGACAUCCUGGAGGUCCCAGGACUUUCCUGGGUCACCUCAGGGAAGCUGUUGGGGAAGACCACCUGACUCAGCUGCUGCAGAGGACUCUCUCCCACAGUGGGAGAUGAUGGACCGCCCCGGCGACACUAAGAAAGGGACCGUCCAGGACUUGGGGAGGGUCUGGACCGCCUAGAUAUACUUUCUGUCUAUGUGUGAUGUAUAUACGUUGAUGGGGGUCACUCAAUAUAUUGGGAAUUUGUUGUUCCCUGACCAAUUGGAGUGGAUCCUGUAUGGGUCUGUAAUGUAGUGUGUUCCCUAACUGUCUGUGUGCUUCUAAGAGGUAUUGUUGUGUAUCUAAGAUGACUGUCUGGAGCCUUUGUCAGCGGGUUUGAUAACUAUGUGUUUGUAAUUAGACAGGUGUCUAAGUGCUGUGUAUUCUUGUUCAGUAGGGUUGGGUGUUUCUAAAGUGUUGUUGGGUGGUUAUGCAUGGCGGUGUGUUUAUUGGUACGGAGGAGUGGGGUGAGGUUCUCCCACAAGGCGCCCGGCGGUGGUCCCCAGCUGGACGGCCCCUGAAGGGGUGGAAUGGGCCCACCGGGUCGGCCAUGGAAGGGUUCUGUUCACUUAAGUGACCGGUUGUAAUGGUGGACAUCUCUAAGGAAUUCUAGUUUAUCUGCGAUACGGGGGGUGGGGAUGAAAACUGAGGCCCUUCUCCAGCAGCUGAGUCUCCGUUUCUGACCGAUGGAAGACGGUGGAUAGAUUUACAGUAUUAGUCUAAAUGGAGCUAGAUGACGUAUGGGCACGGACCCGUGAAAACAAGGCACGUAAAACGCCAAAAAAACGCCCCUGGGCCGACGGACGCGUUCCGCACGCAGCACACGACGUGAUGAAGCAGACUCGGAGAACGCGGUAAAAGCAGCGACCUCGUCAGAAGAGACUCACGUCCAGGCCCAGCGGGAGGGCCAGCUCCGGAGUCCUGGUCCCCAAGGUGUAGUGGCUGGGUCGGCGAGGCUCCGGGCCCCCCACCGGGGGUCCAUAGGGGCUGGGGUCAGGUCUGUAGCAGGGCCGGCGGCAGCCAGGGGCAAGGGUGGGCUUAGCCCACCCAAAUGUGCGCCAUGCCCACCCAAUCAAAAUAGAAGAAAAUGAAUGAAAAAAUGUUGGUGGAAGUCCAGACCCACUAUCGGACGGAGCUGUUCGUUUGCUGUCCAACAAAAUGUCAAAUCUAAUUCAGACAAUUAAUUAAUACCAAAGAAUAUACCAUUACCAUGCAUUGCUUCUAAUUGGGUGGGCCGGACAGCCUGCCUCCAAGUUACCCACCCGCUUAUAGUGGUCACUGGUACACACACACACACACACACACACACACACACACACACACACACACACACACACACACACACACACACACACACACACACACACACACACACACACA